AUAGAUUUAACACUAUGAUCCAAAACUUGAUUUCAAGAUUAAAACCUCAACAUUCAUCCAUAUAGUAAAUUUCCUUGCAUAUGCUUCAAGUAAUCUAAACAUGCUCAAAUCCUCAUCAAUUGCUAUUAAAAAAUCUGCAUUAUAAAGUUUAAAGGUUACCUGAGUCGCAGAAAAUAAAUAUAGCAGUGAAGAAUGAGAGCUCAGCAACAGAAAGCGAUAGAGAACAACAGCAAAAUCAGCAGAAAUCCAGCAGCAAAUCGUGUUUAAAUAGUCCGAAAAAUUUAGAGAAGAAAACCAGAACUAACUCUAAAGAAGACUUCUACUUUUCUAAAGUUUGCACUCUAAGAUUCACUCACAAAGCGUAAAAAUUUUCAGCUUACUAAAGUAUUCAGCUGCUGAUUUUUUGUUCAACCAUAUAUGUGUUCAAGCAACUCUCAAGAUCUCUCUCAGUGUAAGAUAGAGUGUGUGUUUUUAUAGGAGAAGAGUAGCCCUUUAAAUAAGCAAAUAAAGUCAAAUUUUUUGGACAGAUUUUGGUUCACCAAAAGUCUAACUUUGUGUGCUAAACACUGUUCAAAAGAUGUAAAAAAAGAAGUAUUAUAUUUGUCACCACAUAAUGACUUUUGAGUUUUGUACUCCAAAGUCUUUGCACAGUAAAAAAAAACCAAAUUUGUACUAUUCCUUCUUUAAUUUCGGCUUUUAUCAACAUAAAAUUUAAAUACUCAAAUCCAAUAUAAAUAAAUUCCCUAAGCGCUUGAAAAAUUUAUUAUCAACUAUCAUGACUAAGUGAAUAGCUAUUUCAAAGCUAAUGAAUAACUAAUUAUCAGUGAUUAAUUACUAUGAACGACUAAGCUAACAUAGAUUAAACACAACUAAUAAUAAAAAUAUAAAUAAUAAUAAUAAAAAUAAAAACAAAAAUCAUAAAUUAUGCUAAACAUAAACUAACUACAAUACAAUUAGUAAAAAUAGACAAAGGAAACAAGAAUAAGGGUAUACCAAACGAGGGCAUUCGGGGUGGUCGUCGAAAUUUGGCCGGAUUUUUAGUUGCCGGAUUUUCGGGAUGGAAUUGACAUCAAUAGGUAGGUCUUGAUGAUCUCUAUCCGUUGAUGUAGGUAUUGUGGGGGUGGUAGUGGCCGGAACUUCAAGAUUUUGGGCAAAAAAAAUGGAGGCUAAAGUUUCCUAGGUCUAAAAUUCAAGGAGUUUGAGGGGUUUUUGAAGGAUUUGGUUUGGAGAUAUGGAAAGAGGAGGUUGUGGAGAUUACAUGGUGUGAAUUUAGGGGUGUUUGGAGGUUGACCGCCGCCGGUGGGUGAUUUUCGACGGCGGAGAGAAGAGAGAGAGAGAAGAGAGAAAGAGUUAUGG
rnacentral:lncRNA from 1 species